rnacentral:tRNA from 1 species
GCCGGGGUAUCCUAGCGGUACGGAGACGGUCUCGAAAACCGUUGCCCUUUGGGCUCGUGGGUUCGAAAGAGUCCAUCCUUGGAUGGUUUCCGAUUUUCCCAUCCCCGGCG